UUCCAGCAUCUUCCACUUUCCUCUUCUUUCUUUCUCUUUCCGUUUCUCUCAUCCUAGAACGGAAGAACGAUGGAAAAUCAGGGUUCUUCCAUUUGCUUCGACAGAUUUCUUGAUCUCUCUCGAGCUCCGGAUCGCUAGCCUCCGUAUGAAGGAAAUCGUCAAUCCUGCAGAAUCCUUGGGUUUCCUGAUUUCAUCGGCUAUUUCAUCAGUUUUUGGAUUCGAUCAGGAUCGGUUUUUUACCCACGAAAUCUAGAGUCUUCUGAUGGCUUUUUCUAGGUUCGGUGAAUUUACAGGGGAGAGGUAGAGAGAGGCCUGUUGAGACCUGGACUGUCGAAUGGAGAGGAUGAAAAGCAACUGCAGGAAAGCAGCAAUGGAGACCCGACAGCAGCAUUUUCAAGUCGAUCUGGGGAGGAAUUAGUGAAGGAAUGUAUAAAGAGAGGGACCGAGUUGGUUUAAGCUAUUGCGAAUAGUCUUUUCAACUCACAUUCAACUGAAGGCAUAGACGGUCCCAUUGUGCACAUAUUCGCUUCCUGAAACUAAGCUGCCAAGAUAGAAAGCAUGUUUGAUCAUGUAUAUGAGCAUUUGGUAGUGAAACAUGUAUAGUGCUUCACAAUUGAAAAGAAGUGGAAUGGUAGUAUCAGGUGGACCGUAUUUGAUUGAGAAUAAGAUACCGUGCAAUAUUGAUUUUGCUGAAGCAGCUAAAGUUGAGUGUUUUAAUCGGUUGUAUAUAUCACCCAGUUUACCUGUUCCUACUGCUGCUCAACAGGGACGAGUUUCACAACAGAUAAGGAUUGGUACAUAGGAAAGCAGCCAAAGAAUCCUGUUGUACAAUCAUUGGUGGUGCAAUUUUUUGCUCUUUUAUUAAAUUGUCCAUUCCUGCCAAAUUUUAAACGAACUGGAGAGUGUGUUCUUUCCAAUCUUAAGCCAGAAAACAUGUGGAGUAUUAAGUCAGAAUGGUUCUUGCUGCUUCAGACAGUGGCCACACCACAGUGCUUAAAGAUUUGAAUUUUUUAAAGUGGUUCCACAAAACCUGCAAAGUGGUUCCACAAAAAUCUGCAAAGUGGACGUUAUGUUGCUUGCAGCAGUAGAUUGUUCUUUUCUAUUUAAGUUUGACUGCUUCAACCAAAAAACUUUUGCUCAUGUGUUAAAGGAUGUUGGCAUCUGUUAUCCAAAACAA